UUGGUAGAAGCCAAAUAGAGGCUUAUCACUGUUAAUGAUUUCAUUGAAAUUAAGUUUCCUACCAAG
rnacentral:tRNA from 1 species